UGCCAAAGUAAAUGUAGAACCACGUUCAG
rnacentral:piRNA from 1 species